rnacentral:rRNA from 1 species
GUCAAGUCAUCAUGGCCCUUAUGUCCAGGGCUACACACGUGCUACAAUGGGUGGUACAAAGCGCAGCGAGUCCGCGAGGAUUGAGCGAACCGCCGAAAGCCGCCCGUAGUUCGGAUUGAAGUCUGAAACCCGACUUCAUGAAGUUGGAAUCGCUAGUAAUCGCGCAUCAGCAUGGCGCGGUGAAUACGUUCCCGGGCCUU